rfam:Populus trichocarpa scaffold_11_contig_587, whole genome shotgun sequence.
UCUAGAACUCGAGAUAUGGGCUGAACACUGAACAAUGUCUGGGCUGCAGGACAUAUUCCAACUUCUCUGUUGUUGCUAAGAUUUGGACUUCCAAACAACAGAAUUGAGUCAUGCACUCCCAUGAAUGUUUUAGGCCUAUGUCUUAGCUUUCUAGC